rnacentral:rRNA from 1 species
GACGUAGGAGGCGAGCGUUAUCCGGAUUCACUGGGCGUAAAGCGCAUGUAGGCGGUUGGACAAGUCGUGUGUUAAAGCCCCUGGCUCAACUGGGGGAGGUCAUGCGAGACUGUACGACUUGAGGGCAAGAGAGGCACGUGGAACUCCCGGUGUAGCGGUGGAAUGCGUAGAGAUCGGGAAGAACACCAGUGGCGAAGGCGACGUGCUGGGUUGCACCUGACGCUGAGAUGCGAAAGUGUGGGGAGCAAACGGG